rnacentral:lncRNA from 1 species
UUACAAAAAGCUCGGUGGUUUCACAUGUUUCUGCUAUUAUAAACAAAACACGAUAGUCAGAUGAAUAUAUCUAAAACACGCAAAAAAAAAACUCAUUUCUAGAGUAGGCCUGCUAUACUCUUAUGAGUAUAGACCUCUUUGUACUCAUAAGUUUUCGGUCGUUCAAUAAAAAGAUAUGCGGUUAGGAUGAUAGUGGUCCCCUAGAGUUGAGUGGAUGGUUAAUUGAAUAGUAUGAUCUGAUCUAAUAGGUGAAAAUGGUUAAAGAGGUAGAUCUAACAACAAACUUAUGAGUAUAAAGGGAUCUAUACUAAUAAGAGUAUAGUAGCCGGACUCCUCAUUUCCAAAUCUAAGAGCUGGCGAUUCAUUUUUUUUGUUGAGUGCUGCUGGAGGGAACCAGCAUGUAAAAAACUUCAUUGCUAACUUGUCACACCCCGGGGCCGAUUUUAAAAGCCAUUUUGAAAACAGAGUUGCGGAAAACGUGCCAUUUUUUUUUAUUUUUUUUUUUUUCAACCUGGCCAACGUGACGUACAGACCCGCCACAAAUACAAAGUUCCUCUGUCCACUCGGAGAGAGAGAGAGAAGAGGGGGAGGAGUGUAGAGAUGAGGGAGGGGAGAGUGGAAUGAAGCGAAGUAGCAUCGGUUAGUGUAUUUAUUCUCUUAUCAAGAGAAAAAAAAAAAGAAGCUGAAUACAUGGUACGUAGAGAGAUAUGAGUAGAGGUUUUCGACUUUCAAGAGUAAGACAGCAUCCCUCGCGCCGCGGCCGAAGGAACAAAGUUUUGCAUUUAAAUGAGAUGUAAAUGUGACAGGGCAAUAUGUCAUGUCUACAGGAACUUCGGUGCCGUUUGUUCACGCCAUCGUUGCGUUUUAAAAAUUUCUAGUAAGCGUUAGAGUGGAAAUAAGAGAAAGAUUGUAGGCGGUGUUGUGCACUAAAAGCAAUAGAGUAAUACUAUUGAUAAGAUGGUUCAGCUUCGGGAACUGAGAUCCUUACCAAAGAAGGCUAUAUGCUCGCCAUUCCGUUGCAGUGAGGGUGGAUAUCUCGAUAUGUGCCUCAUACUUAAUGGAUUGGGUACGAUUCAUAAGUGUAAGUAGGUCUAGAUCUUUUCUCUGUUCGUCCUUACCCCGGAUAUAAGGUUGGAUUUAUUUGUUUUUACACUAUAGCGAGUUAUCUGUCCUAACUGUUUUUUUCUCGGUUGCUCUAGGACUGAAGCUCUCUCUCUCUUUCUAGACAGUUUCAACGAUCUCUCAGCUCCUGGGUCGUAAUUGGAACGUAUCUUGUCUGUUUUAUUUUUAUAUAUGCUGCUCUUUCUCUAAACUGUAGUAUCUCUCUCGUCCCGUGGUUUUUUUGUUUUGGAUAGAUGGUUGAGUUAAUUGUGUAGAUAACGGAUUAUGCUAAGGAAUUAAGUGUAGAUGAAAUUAAUAGUAAAUGUAUUGUAGUAGUUCUUUUUGGUAGAUGAUUAGAAUAAUCAUGCUAAUUCGAAUAUUACGAGUGGGCGAACCAGAUACUAAAUGUUCAGCAUGGUCUUUAAGUAAUGAGAGAGAAUAUGGGAAUGAGAAAGUCUCGAGAGUACGGUGUUUGAGUCUAGGUAAAUCUUUCAUAAUGCAACCAACCGCAGCCUAAAUCGUAACCACUAAAAUUGGGCAAGUUUUGUCUACCCCUGACUACUCUUUGACUUUUCCUCAAUUUACACUCUCAUUUUCCAAUAAUACCCUUUAAAAUUUCAAAUCUUGCUCAAUAACCCAAUAAAAGCAGGAUUAUAUUUGAAAGAAAAACUGGCAUAUUUAUAGGAGCGAAUUUGAAAGCACAAAGAGGAAUUUUGACAAUAUCAAAGUAAUAGACUAUUUUCAAAACCUCGAAAGAGACCAAAUUGAUAUCCCUAAAACAUUAAACUUUAUAGUCAGAAAACACGAUAUUGCUGCGCCCUUCCUGGACCCAUACUAACCUUAUUCUCAGUAGGCAGGAAUUACCCCCAAACUUGGAGAUGCCAACUGAAAAUAAUUGUCAUGGAUAUUAUUGCACAAAAUCGACACUUGGAAUUAAAAAUGAUGGAAUUACAGCACCGACUUGCAUACACAUAAAAAUUUGAAUUUGAAGCAAAACAUGGACCUAACCAAUCAGGUUCACGCUGAUUGUGAUGAUCGUCCGCCGACACGUUAUGCUUUAACUAUAUUUAUACAAAAUAGCGUACACAGCAAAGUGUAAUGUGGUCUGUAUGAGUUGAACAUUAAAUUCAAGUUUAAUCUAAACACUAAGCCAAGGCGGAAACACUUUACACAUUUAAGUUUACAAAAAGCUCGGUGGUUUCACAUGUUUCAUGGCUAUAUAAACAAACAGAUAGUCAGAUGAAUAUAUCUAAAACACGCAAAAAAAAAACUCAUUUCUAGAGUAGGCCUCUAUACUCUUAUGAGUAUAGACCUCUUUGGAUCUCAUAUUUUCGGCGUUGCAUAAAAAGAAUGCGUUUAGGAUGAUAGUGGUGCCCUACGAGUUGAGUGGCAUGGUGUAAGUUGAAUAGUAUGAUCUGAUCUAAAUAGGUGAAAAUGGUUAAAGACGGUAGAUCAAACAACAAACUUAUAGUAUAAGGGAUUAUACUAAUAAGAGUAUAGUAGCCUGGACUCCUCAUUGUCCAAAUUUAAAGCUGGCGAUUCAUUUUUUUUGUUGAGUGCUGCUGGAGGGAACCAGCAUGUAAAAAACUUCAUUGCUAAUUGUCACAAAACCACGGGGGCCGAUUUUAAAGCCACUUUUGAAAGACAGAUUGCGGAAAUACAUGCCCAUUUUUUUAUUUUUUUUUUUUUCAACCUGGCCAACGUGACGUACAGACCUCGCCACAAAUACAAGUUCUCUGUCUCGUCGUGUGAGUCUCCUCUUGUAUUUCACGCGUUACUCACGCAUACAAACAGGAUGCUCACCUACAACCUACAUAUUACCAAUCAACAACCAAAAGCAUGACUAUGCAUCUUCGCAUACGAGGCCAACAAUCCUUAAGAAAUGAUGCAAUGCCUCUAAGCACUCCGUAGGCGUUGAUGAAUGGCAAUGGCACUAAUCAACAAACAUCCUAUUUAAGUGCUCCCACACGGAAUCUUUUGUUUUUAAACUCAUAUUCCAAUCAAUGUCAUAAAAACCAUUCGAAAACUUUUUAAAACUGUUAUCCCACAGCGAAACUCUAUUUUGAAAACCGACUAACCUCGAGGUAGAAACCACGAUCAUAAUACAAGAAAACAAAAUCUCCACAAAGCAAACCCGAUGGACAACAUCAGAUCUCAAUGUAUAAAAAAGCCACACCGAGCAGUGCACAUACAUUCAGCAUAUCACUUAAGAUCAUGCUAACUGAACCCUUAUUAAGAAAACUACUAAAUGCGGGAAAGAAAUACCAGGGUGAACGGUCGCUACUAGGCCGUCUAACUAGAUCGUCCUUCUCGUGACCGCCCUCCCCGCUCUCUUAGGCGCCGCCUGGCCACCUUCCUUGCCACGGUCGCUGACCCAAAUCCAACUCCGUCUCCUGUCACCUGGGGGGGGCAAUGGGGUGAGAACCGCAACCAUGGUUUUCUGCAGUGGGUACGACAGAGCCACAAGGCAAGUCCGUUAAUCACCGGAAACGCAAAAGAGUAGUGAUAACAACAUAUGAUACUCUGUAGCUGAUAUCGAAUAGAAGCAACAGUAUCUACAACAGAUAAAUAGGAAAGCAAUAAAUUGAACCUGCUACUCGUAUAGAAACAUGGCACAAAAAGGUCAAUUUACUGAAUCAGAACUGUACCAAUCUGUGCCGCUAUAUGGUCCGUAGACUCAAGCGCGCCUGUCACUAACUGCACGGUGGCCGACCUGACCAUCGCGCCCGCAGGACACCCAUCCGGAUAAGUACAACUUCGUGUGCGGCCAAACCCCCUGAUCACCGGUGUCAUGAAUACCCGCCAGUGCGUGAUGAAGUCAUCUGGGUAUGCUCAACACAAAACCAAACCGGCUAAAGCGCGGUGCCUAGGCCAAGCCAUACAACGAGGGUGUAAGCAAGGCCAAACUGAAAUGGAUGCUAGGUGCGUACAACGCCGAAGCCUCGUCAACCCAAUCGAACAUCACACGAAAGAGAGUCGAUGUGUUGCCUGGACCCAAGGUCCACAGAGAUACUGAAAUACAAAUGCAAAGCUGCUCUACAUUCUAUCAACUACUAACGCAAUAUGCAAUCAAAGAGGUAGCGCAUAUACGAAAACAAAGUCAAACAAUGAAUGUAUGAGGACUAAAUAGCGGUAUAAAAAACAGGAGAUAGGGGUGAAACGCUUCUACCCGACAACACAGCUCGAAGCCCCAGCUGUACUGUCGCGUCGGAACACGCGUACCAGCAGUAGUCUACCGGACUAAGAAAUCCCCAAGUCAGUAUCCAAUACCCACUAAACCAAGCACGAACCUCACAAACCGCCCACAUCAGGAUCCCCGGAAUCGAUUCCAAAAACGGAUACCGUAACAUCACGCGUGAAUCCUGCGAAAUCAAACCGGACGCCGUCGGGACCCACUAAGUGUCCAACCGCCGAAUCACCGACAUCGUACCACGAGUCACCCCUGCCCCAAAAGCAUUCCAAAUUGUGGAUGCUGGGGCGAACAGCAAGGUCACAACAAUACGAUCAUCGCCCGGAUAAUCGUACGAAUCCGGGUUCCCGGAAGUGUCUAUUUCGACACCUGGAACCCUCCGUCGCUCACUAUCAUCAUCGAACCCACAAAAUGACGAUGGUGACAGCCAACAAGGCUCAGCGACAAACACGAAGCACACCAAAUACGCGUCCGAAAGGAUGCCGAAAACCGAAACCGGCGUUCUUCGUGCGGAAUUUCCCGCAAACGCACCGAAAUGCACCGAUUUCCGCGAAAGCUAACGAGCAUGACAAUCAGUCCAGCGGUCCUUACAAACUCCACACACUGCCACGAGUGAGCACCACGCAAAGCACAAAUGCCAUAAAAGACGCCUCUAAUUACAAUAAAUAUAUCAUUUAUGUAAUUUGAGCGAUCAGUCGGCUCGUUGCCACAGAAAACCCGAGGACCUCCAGUCCAAAGACGACAAGCGUACAGACAGGUCUCAACGUACCGGAGUCCGUGCUCACGUGAUCGGACACACGCUCGCUAUGGANNNNNNNNNNNNNNNNNNNNNNNNNAAGCGCGGGAGCAACCCGAAGGUUCAGCGAAUAGCGCGCAGUCAGGGAAGAUCGCGCCGAACAGAACUAACCGGACACUUCUGAUCCACGGGAAGGUGAGCAUUGUGAUCAGCAUUGACCAACAAUCACCGUGCUCACCUCCGGAGGCAUCAGGACAGCCUCGGAUCGCCGGAUACGCGUGCGCAAGCCCAAAACAGCAGCCGAAAAGGCUGAAACGGAGCGACAUCGUCAAAACAACGGAACGGGACCUUCCCGACAGAAUCCAAGGUGAGCACGAUGAUCAGCAAUUCGCUACGAUCAUCGUGCUCCCUUCCGUAGAGAUCGGGGAAGCUCGGGAAGCCCAGAGCAAGAAACCCACUCAAAUAAGCCCUAUUUCGGGCUUGGCCGGAGCAACCUUGCUCCGGCCGGCCUCAGGCGGCACAGCGGCGCGCGCGGGGCCCUGAGUCGGGUGAGGGGGAGGUGAGGAACACGGUGCUCACCUCAGACGGCGGCGAGGAGCGGCGGCGGUGGCGGCGGAGCAAGUUGAGCCCGCACGAGAUCGGGCUCGGGUUCCAGGAGUUGCUGCGGCCACGGCGGCGGCCGGGGAGCUCCGGGACGGCGGAGGCGGGCUGCAGGAGGUCGGGGGAGAGAUUCGGGUGCGGACCCAAGCGGCGGCGGCGCAGGGGGAGCGUCGCACCCAGCUUCAGCUCGGGCUCGGGUUGGAGGGCUGCAGGCGGCUCGCGGGGCGGCAGCGGCGCUCAGGGCGGCUCGGGGCAGAGGCGGCCGACUGCCUGAGGUCGGGGAGGUGCCACAGGGGCGGCCCAGGGCGGCGGCGACGCGAGGAAGAGGCCGCACACAGCUCUCGGCCUGGGCUCGGGCUGGGCGGCCGCGGCUGGCCGAGGCGGCGACGGCGGCGCCUCGGGGCGGCGGCGACCGGCGGGAAGGGGCGCCCGGGCACGGGGAAAGUCGGCGGGAGGGUUUCCAGGCGGUGGCGGCGCGCGGGCAGGUAGUGUAACCCAGCUCGGUCAGGCUCGGCCCGGGCUAGCAGAUGCGGCCCGGGGUGGCAGCGGCGGCGCAGGCGACGGCGGCGGUCGGCGGGGAUGAUCGCCGGAGCACGGGGCGACACCGAGGGAGGGUCCGAAGGUGGCGGCAGUCUCGAGUCUCCUCACAACCCGAGAGGAGAGAGGGAGAGAGAAAGAGAGGGAGAGAGAGAGAAGUGAUGGCUGCGGCGGCGGUUGGCCGGCCGGGGCUCAGUCGGCGGCGGCCUGGGCGCGCGCAACAGGUGCAGGGAAGAGGUAGGAGGCGGCUAGGGGGCUAGGGCAAGGCUAGGGUUAGGGUUGAGUGGCUCCAAACCCUAAAGAGACUAUAAAAGUAAGGUGCAACAUGCAAAAAGGUCCCCCAAACAUCAGAAUUUCUAUUCGAGUCCCUCACAGUACGACUAAAACGCAUGAACGCCCCUCCACGUGCGAUCCCUCGCGAAACGAUACAUAAAAUAUCGCGACUAUUGCGAAAAUACCGUUUUGCUAACACCGACCUCUCCUUGAUCAACGCGCGAUCUCCGCAGAUCCGUCCGUCAAAUUUGCGAACGGAUUGCACCAGUGCGAUCAGCACGACGGAGACAACAAAGCUGCGAUUUCGUUUCGUCUCGAUCGACCACGGAUUCACGACAAAAUCCAACCUUCUUCGAAUAGAAGGAAACACACACAUAAAUACAUAUAAAACAUGUAUUUUUGGAUUUUCUCGAAAUCCGUGCGUCAAACUCAAAAUCCGUCAGCGUCAUUAGUUCCAGAACAGCUGACCCGGUCGAAACGAGCUAUUGGACUUCUAUGAACAGAGUCCGGUACGAGCCAGAAGCCAACUUCUCACCGUGGCUUCUCCGGAAAAUCGAGUUACUAUUCACUUUAAGUGAAACUUGGAAAUCGCGUAGAAUUUUCGUUUUAACUCGUUUUCGCCCGAAACUUGACGAGUGCUUUUGUAAUUAAAUUACACACAAAAACAUCAUCAACUGAGAGUUUAGCUACACUGCAAAAAUCUCAGUCCUUACAUCAUCCCACCCUUAAAGGAAGUUUCGUCCUCGAAACUUGCUCACAGGCGGGGGUAAUCCGACGCACAACGAACUAGCACAACACAUGCAUGCAAUGCAAGGAGAGAUGCAUUUAAACGAAAAGCAUGCAGAGCUACGACGAUAACAACAACAUUAUACCUGCGGCGACGUCAGCCGACUGAUCAUCCUUCUGACGUGUCAUCAUGAAGGCGCGUCCGUCAGUGGUCUGGUGUACCUCCUUCACUUGACGAGAUGUCGAUGGACGUCCAGCUGAAGAAUAGGUCGAAUUGCCACGAUCCUGCCAUGGAGCUGCUGGAGUAGAUGCUGCUGCAGAUGCUGUACCUGCUCCACUGGUGCAAUCUGCCCGAAGAUGUCCACGUUGGCCACACCUGUAACAGUGAUUGUGGCGCUGUGGGCACUCAAUAACCUUGUGAGCCUCACCGCAGAUAACACAAGGUCUGAUGCUCUGCUGCUGAGACGUAGCGGGGGCGCUGCUCGAUUCUGAAUGUGCCUUGCGAUGCUUGGAUGAUCGUCCGUUGCUUGAUUGGCUACCAGCAAAACUUCCCUGGGUACGCUUCCUAUCCGCACUCUUCUCGGAUGCGUCCUGUUCGAUUCGAGCCUCGUCCAUUUCACUCUGCACCAUCAGGGCCCGAUCUAAGCUCUCGUCGAACGUCAACGCGCCAUGGGACGCGAUCAGGAGUCGAAUACUGGGCCUUAGCCCUCUCGCAAACAUCCUUGCCUUGUGAUACUCAUCACGAACCACGAACGGAAUCAACGAAACAAUCCGAGAGAAGUCUCGCUCAUACUCGCCUACGGUACGGUUGCCUUGCUUGAGACGCUGCAAUUCACGCUCCAAACUCUGCUUAGUGCUAUCCUUGAAGUACUGCUCGUACAGGAGUCUCCGAAAUUCCUCCCAGCUUGGAUAGAUGCUCCCAAGUUUGCGUUCGAAGUGGCCGAUCCACCACGAAUAAGUUUUCGGUCGUUCAAUAAAAAGAUAUGCGGUUAGGAUGAUAGUGGUCCCCUAGAGUUGAGUGGAUGGUUAAUUGAAUAGUAUGAUCUGAUCUAAUAGGUGAAAAUGGUUAAAGAGGUAGAUCUAACAACAAAUUUAUGAGUAUAAAGGGAUCUAUACUCAUAAGAGUAUAGU